GAUCCGAGGUCACCUGAGAAAAAUAAGGUUGGAGACGCCGGCUGGCGCCCGGCCGGCCCUAAUCGAGCGGGUGACAAAGCCCCAUACGCUCGAGGACCGGACACGGUGCCGCCGCUGCCUUUCGGGCCCGUCCCCCGGGGGGGACGACGACCCAACACACAAGCCGGGCUUGAGGGCAGCAAUGACGCUCGGACAGGCAUGCCCCCCGGAAUGCCAGGGGGCGCAAUGUGCGUUCAAAGACUCGAUGAUUCACUGAAUUCUGCAAUUCACAUUACUUAUCGCAGUUCGCUGCGUUCUUCAUCGAUGCCGGAACCAAGAGAUCCAUUGUUGAAAGUUUUGACUGAUUUGUAUUCAGGCUCAGACUGCAUCACUCUCAGGCAUGAAGUUCAGUGGUCCCCGGCGGCUCGCCCCUGGGGGGCUCCCCGCCGAAGCAACAGUGUUAGGUAGUCACGGGUGGGAGGUUGGGCGCCCGGAGGCAGCCCGCACUCGGUAAUGAUCCUUCCGCAGGUUCACCCUACGGAAG
rnacentral:misc_RNA from 1 species